GUUGCAUCUCAGCCUUUUGGCUAAGAUCAAGUGUAGUAUCUUUGACCAUACAUUAAAUUAAAAUUGAAGUGGAUUAAAGAUGCAACUAUU
rnacentral:snRNA from 1 species